rnacentral:piRNA from 1 species
UAGCCUUAAAUUGUCCUAAAGUGACAACUA